rnacentral:rRNA from 1 species
AUUGAACGCUGGCGGCAGGCCUAACACAUGCAAGUCGAGCGGAUGACGGGAGCUUGCUCCUUGAUUCAGCGGCGGACGGGUGAGUAAUGCCUAGGAAUCUGCCUGGUAGUGGGGGACAACGUUUCGAAAGGAACGCUAAUACCGCAUACGUCCUACGGGAGAAAGCAGGGGACCUUCGGGCCUUGCGCUAUCAGAUGAGCCUAGGUCGUAUUAGCUAGUUGGUGGGGUAAUGGCUCACCAAGGCGACGAUCCGUAACUGGUCUGAGAGGAUGAUCGGUCACACUGGAAUUGAGACACGGUCCAGACUCCUACGGGAGGCAGCAGUGGGGAAUAUUGGACAAUGGGCGAAAGCCUGAUCCAGCCAUGCCGCGUGUGUGAAGAAGGUCUUCGGAUUGUAAAGCACUUUAAGUUGGGAGGAAGGGCAGUAAGCUAAUACCUUGCUGUUUUGACGUUACCGACAGAAUAAGCACCGGCUAACUCUGUGCCAGCAGCCGCCGUAACAC